rnacentral:misc_RNA from 1 species
GUGAACGCCCUCGACGGGCUUAUACUAUUCCAAACCCUGCUGUGAAACCGUGCCCUUCGGGGCUAUUUUACAAACAUGGUGUAAUGAACGUCAUAUAUCAUAACAAAAC